UUCAAGUUCUUACCUUGACAUAAACCAAAAUCUGAAAGAUACAAAAAUCAUUAACCUAGUCCCUGAGCAAGGAUGAGGCACAAAUUUGUAAAGCAGUUUGUAUUUUU